UACGUAGGGUGCGAGCGUUAAUCGGAAUUACUGGGCGUAAAGCGUGCGCAGGCGGUCUUGUAAGCCAGAUGUGAAAGCCCCGGGCUCAACCUGGGAACUGCAUUUGGGACUGCAAGGCUGGAGUACGGCAGAGGGAGGUGGAAUUCCACGUGUAGCAGUGAAAUGCGUAGAGAUGUGGAGGAACACCGAUGGCGAAGGCAGCCUCCUGGGCUAGUACUGACGCUCAUGCACGAAAGCGUGGGGAGCAAACAGG
rnacentral:rRNA from 1 species